GUGCACUGAGAUGUCUCAGUUUCCCAAAAUUGUUGUUAGUCAGCAUGCUACAGUUCUGUGAGGCUCUUAUGCAAUAUCUACUUCAGGCUGAUUUGUUCUAAGCAAGGAUCUCGUUGCCCCUUCCUCAAGAUGUGCCAAUGUUAUUUCUUAUACUGCCAGAGUAUUACAUGGAGGAUUUGGCAGACUACUUUCUGCUUGUCAUACACUGGUUGAAGGGAGGCUGAAUAUAGAUAGACAUGACAAUUACUCCUAGACAUCACCCCUCUCUAAUGUCACUGAUACAGAGGAGAAGAAUGCUGUACCACCACCAUCAUUUACUCACAGACGGGAGUUUACCACCUGUGACAAGCCUGGCUUCCUGGUUGUGACUGAACUUGCAAGUUGUUGAGAAUUCAGGCAAGGUUUGUCAGAGCCUUCUCUCCCCCC